AUUGAACGCUGGCGGCAGGCCUAACACAUGCAAGUCGAACGGAGUGGCGGACGGGUGAGUAAUGUCUGGGCAACUGCCUGAUGGAGGGGGAUAACUACUGGAAACGGUAGCUCAUAACGCAUACCAUCGUCUGUGUCCAGGUGGGAUUAGCUAGUAGGUGGGGCAAAGGCCUACCAAGGCGACGAUCCGUAACUGGUCUGAGAGGAUGAUCAGUCACACUGGAACUGAGACACGGUCCAGACUCCUACGUGAGGCAGCAGUGGGGAAUAUUGGACAAUGGGCGAAAGCCUGAUCCAGCCAUGCCGCGUGUGUGAAGAAGGUCUUCGGAUUGUAAAGCACUUUAAGUUGGGAGGCGUUACCAACAGAAUAAGCACCGGCUAACUUCGUGCCAGCAGCCGCGGUAAUAC
rnacentral:rRNA from 1 species